rnacentral:lncRNA from 1 species
AGACAACUCUCCAUGAAGUGUUAGACACAGUGUAGUCAAAGUUAGCAGUUACAUGUAUACUAUACAUGUAACUGCUAACUUCAAACCAGAAACAAAAAGCAAAUAUGAACUGCACCAAAAAAAGACAACCACCAAACAACAUGCUUCUUACUUGGAACAUUCAGAAAAUAUCUUCAAAGCGAGUUAAAAUUUUUAAUAAGUUUUUGUUUUUAACAAAAGCGUUUUG